rnacentral:rRNA from 1 species
CAUUGGUGGCGACCGGCGCACGGGUGAGUAACGCGUAUGCAACCUACCUAUCAGAGGGGAAUAACCCGGCGAAAGUCGGACUAAUACCGCAUAAAACAGGGGUUCCACAUGGAAAUAUUUGUUAAAGAAUUAUCGCUGAUAGAUGGGCAUGCGUUCCAUUAGAUAGUUGGUGAGGUAACGGCUCACCAAGUCCACGAUGGAUAGGGGUUCUGAGAGGAAGGUCCCCCACACUGCUACUGAGACACGGACCAGACUCCUACGGGAGGCAGCAGUGAGGAAUAUUGGUCAAUGGGCGAGAGCCUGAACCAGCCAAGUCGCGUGAAGGAUGAAGGAUCUAUGGUUUGUAAACUUCUUUUAUAUGGGAAUAAAGUGAGGAACGUGUUCCUUUUUGUAUGUACCAUAUGAAUAAGCAUCGGCUAACUCCGUGCCAGCAGCCGCGGUAAUACGGAGGAUGCGAGCGUUAUCCGGAUUUAUUGGGUUUAAAGGGUGCGUAGGUGGUUAAUUAAGUCAGCGGUGAAAGUUUGUGGCUCAACCAUAAAAUUGCCGUUGAAACUGGUUGACUUGAGUAUAUUUGAGGUAGGCGGAAUGCGUGGUGUAGCGGUGAAAUGCAUAGAUAUCACGCAGAACUCCGAUUGCGAAGGCAGCUUACUAAACUAUAACUGACACUGAAGCACGAAAGCGUGGGGAUCAAACAGGAUUAGAUACCCUGGUAGUCCACGCAGUAAACGAUGAUUACUAGCUGUUUGCGAUACACAGUAAGCGGCACAGCGAAAGCGUUAAGUAAUCC